UUCAAAGUAAUUAACCUCCAAUUAUUUUCAGUUCUUCAUCAUGAUCUUUGGUAAGACUUACAUUUCUGGUUUCACUUUUUGAUUAUCCGUUUUUCAUCAUGCUAACCAAGUCUCUUUAAUUAAGUUGCAGUUAAAUGCUUAUUAUUACUUCUCAUUCACAACUCAUCAUGACAUGUUUAUUAGUUUCCAAGUUUAAUUGGAUCAAGCUUCAUCAAUGGCUACUCAAAUAAAGAAUAUUGUGUGAUGAUUAUUAUAUGAUGAUUAAUGGAUGGAUCAAUGAAGAUAUGAAGAUAUGGAGGAAUCAUCUCACAGGAGACACACAGAGAACGACAAAACCAUAGUCACGCAUGCCACACCUAGCACCACCAACCCCAACUCCCCUUCAAUUCUUUGUAGUUUUUUUCAAUAAUAAUACUUUAUUAUUUAUCUAAGAUUAAUUAAUAAUUAAUUACUAACAUUUCAAAGAAAUAUUAAUAUAAUAAAAAUAUUUUAUUUUAUUACUUCUUCAAUCCUAAAUACCUAAAUAUAUGACACGGUUGAAUCGAUAUAAAAGUUGAUGUAUUUGAUUCAGAGACAGAUCGACGAAUGUUGAUUCAGCUGUUUCUUGUGUUAUUAGGUUAUUAGGACGGAGAGAGUAUAUAUAUUAUAUUAUAUUGAAAAAAAGAAAAAGGCUCAUGUAUCUAUCUAUCUAUAUGUUCAAAGUUGAAACCUCUAAUGUUGAUUUGUGGUGGAUGUAUAUAUUGUAUACAUAAGAAAGGUGAAAGCAUGUACAGUGAAAACCUAUCGGAUGUGAAAUGGUUUCUCUAUCUGUCUGCAGGUGCCGUGUAGCUAGGUCUUUCUUUCUUUCUAGCUUACUAUGGCACCAAAACUAUUACAGUACAUCUUCUUCUUUCAA